AAGUCGUAACAAGGUUUCCGUAGGUGAACCUGCGGAAGGAUCAUUAGAAAUCACCGGCUUAGCCGGUAUAAAAUUCUAUCCACCCUUGUGUGCAAACAAUGGAAGAAAAGAGAGCCAUUUGGAUACCUUUGUAUCCAAUCUCUCUAAAAUUUUUUAUAAACUCCAUCAAAUUUUGAAUAAAACUAUUUUUUUUUUUUAAAUAAAAAUAUUAUACAACUUUCAACAACGGAUCUCUUGGCUCUC
rnacentral:misc_RNA from 1 species